rnacentral:rRNA from 1 species
GACGGGGGGUCCUAGCGUUGUUCGGAAUCAUUGGGCGUAAAGCGUGUGCAGGUGGUUUGGUAAGUUGGAUGUGAAAGCCCCGAGCUUAACUCGGGAAGUGCAUUCAAAACUACCAAACUUGAGUAUGGAAGAGGGUCGUGGAAUUCCAGGUGUAGUGGUGAAAUACGUAGAUAUCUGGAGGAACACCGGCGGUGAAAACGGACAGCUGGGGGUGUGCUGACGCUGAGACACGAAAGCCAGGGGAGCGAACGGG